UACAGAGGGGGCGAGCGUUGUUCGGAAUUACUGGGCGUAAAGGGCGCGUAGGCGGCCCGCUAAGUCGAACGUGAAAUCCCCAGGCUCAACCUGGGAACUGCGUCCGAUACUGGCAGGCUUGAAUCCGGGAGAGGGAUGUGGAAUUCCAGGUGUAGCGGUGAAAUGCGUAGAUAUCUGGAGGAACACCGAUGGCGAAGGCAGCCCCCUGGGUUAACACUGACGCUCAUGCACGAAAGCGUGGGUAGCAAACAGG
rnacentral:rRNA from 1 species